rnacentral:rRNA from 1 species
CCUACGGGAGGCAGCAGUGGGGGAUAUUGCACAAUGGGGGAAACCCUGAUGCAGCGACGCCGCGUGGGUGAAGAAGCGCCUCGGCGCGUAAAGCCCUGUCAGCAGGGAAGAAAAUGACGGUACCUGAAGAAGAAGCCCCGGCUAACUACGUGCCAGCAGCCGCGGUAAGACGUAGGGGGCAAGCGUUCUCCGGAUUUACUGGGUGUAAAGGGGGCGCAGACGGCGGUGCAAGCCAGGGGGGAAAGCCCGGGGCCCAACCCCGGGACUGCUCUUGGAAAUGGGUGGCUAGAGUGCAGGAGGGGCAGGCGGAAUUCCUGGUGUAGCAGUGAAAUGCGUAGAUAUCAGGAGGAACACCGGUGGCGAAGGCGGCCUGCUGGACUGCAACUGACGUUGAGGCCCGAAAGCGUGGGGAGCAAACAGGAUUAGAUACCCCGGUAGUC